UGAUCCUGGCUCAGAUUGAACGCUGGCGGGAUCACUUUACACAUGCAAGUCGAACGGCAGCACGGACUUCGGUCUGGUGGCGAGUGGCGAACGGGUGAGUAAUGUAUCGGAACGUGCCUAGUAGCGGGGGAUAACUACGCGAAAGCCGUAGCUAAUACCACAUACGCCCUUCGGGGAAAGCAGGGGACCUUCGGGCCUCGCACUAUUAGAGCGGCCGAUAUCGGAUUAGCUAGUUGGUGGGGUAACGGCUCACCAAGGCGACGAUCCGUAGCUGGUUUGAAGGACGACCAGCCACACUGGGACUGAGACACGGCCCAGACUCCUACGGGAGGCAGCAGUGGGAAUUUUGGACAAUGGGAAACCUGAUCCAGCCAUCCCGCGUGUGCGAUGAAGGCCUUCGGGUUGUAAAGCACUUUUGGCAGGAAAGAAACGGCACGGGAUAAUACCCCGUGCAACUGACGGCUCACCUGCAGAAUAAGCACCGGCUAACUACGUGCCAACAGCCGCGGUAAUACGUAGGGUGCAAGCGUUAAUCGGAAUUACUGGGCGUAAAGCGUGCGCAGGCGGUUCGGAAAGAAAGAGAUGUGAAAUCCCAGAGCUUAACUUUGGAACUGCAUUUUUAACUACCGAGCUAGAGUGUGUCAGAGGGAGGUGGAAUUCCGCGUGUAGCAGUGAAAUGCGUAGAUAUGCGGAGGAACACCGAUGGCGAAGGCAGCCUCCUGGGAUAACACUGACGCUCAUGCACGAAAGCGUGGGGGAGCAAACGGGAUUAGAUACCCUGGUAGUCCACGCCCUAAACGAUGUCAACUAGCUGUUGGGGCCUUCGGGCCUUGGUAGCGCAACUAACGCGUGAAGUUGACCGCCUGGGGAUACGGUCGCAAGAUUAAAACUCAAAGGAAUUGACGGGGACCCGCACAAGCGGUGGAUGAUGUGGAUUAAUUCGAUGCAACGCGAAAAACCUUACCUACCCUUGACAUGUCUGGAAUCCCGAAGAGAUUUGGGAGUGCUCGCAAGAGAACCGGAACACAGGUGCUGCAUGGCUGUCGUCAGCUCGUGUCGUGAGAUGUUGGGUUAAGUCCUGACGAGCGCAACCCUUGUCAUUAGUUGCUACGAAGGGGCACUCUAAUGAGACUGCCGGUGACAAACCGGAGGAAGGUGGGGAUGACGUCAAGUCCUCGACAUAUGGCCCUUAUGGGUGCUUCACACGUCAUACAAUGGUCGGGACAGGGUCGCCAACCCGCGAGGAGCCAAUCCCAGAAACCCGAUCGUAGUCCGGAUCACAGUCUGCAACUCGACUGCGUGAAGUCGGAAUCGCUAGUAAUCGCGGAUCAGCAUGUCGCGGUGAAUACGUUCCCGGGUCUUGUACACACCGCCCGUCACACCAUGGGAGUGGGUUUUACCAGAAGUAGUUAGCUAACCGUAAGGAGGGCGAUUACCACAGUAGGAUUCAUGACUGGGGUGAAGUCGUAACAAGGUAA
rnacentral:rRNA from 1 species